AAACUAACAAGGAUUCCCCUAGUAACGGCGAGUGAAGAGGGAAGAGCCCAAGAUUGAAAGCUGGCGUCUUCGGCGUCCGCAUUGUAAUCUCAAGAAGUGUUUUCCGCUUCGGACCAAGCCUAAGUCCCUUGGAAAAGGGCAUCAUAGAGGGUGAUAAUCCCGUACAUGGCUUGGAGCGCCCGAGGCUUUGUGAUACGCUUUCUAAGAGUCGAGUUGUUUGGGAAUGCAGCUCAAAAUGGGUGGUAAAUGCCAUCUAAGGCUAAAUAUUGGGGAGAGACCGAUAGCGAACAAGUACAGUGAUGGAAAGAUGAAAAGAACUUUGAAAAGAGAGUUAAACAGUACGUGAAAUUGCCAAAAGGGAAGGGUAGGAGGUCAGAGAUGCGGCCUGGGAUUCAGCCUUGCUUUUGCUUGGUGUUUUUCCCAGAUUGCAGGCCAACGUCGGUUUUGGGCACUGGAGAAGGGUAGGAGGAACGUGGCACCCCUCGGGGUGUGUUAUAGCCUCCUACUGGAUACAGCGACCGAGACCGAGGAAAGCAGCGUACUCGUAAGAGCGGGCCCUCGGGUACCUUUACGCUUAG
rnacentral:rRNA from 1 species